rnacentral:lncRNA from 1 species
UCCUAAGAGGUCUUGGGGAGUGGAUGUAGGUGCUGGGGUGCACCGAACCACUAUAUGUUUGUUGUGUUUGUGAUGCUUUUUGUCAUUAUCUAUCUUGCUCACUUACUUACCUAGAUAAAUUGCCUGCUUAACUCUUAUCCGCGCAUCCUUUAGUUGCAAGCAUAUUCAAUUUACUUAAUCAAGUCUCAUUCGAUGAAUCAACCUAUUGCUAAGUUUAAAUUUCACUGUGCAACUAUACAACUUAGCAUAAUUAAUUGAAAAGUGUUAGAAGUAGCUUAAAAGUUUUAAAAGACCCAAUUCACCCCCCCCUCUUGGGUUGUAUCUACUGGGCAACAAG